GGGAAUAUGGCUCAGUGGCAAAGCAGCUGCUUCUCACACAGAUGGUUCCAAGUUCGAUCCCUGCCAGUUCCA
rnacentral:tRNA from 1 species